AAGAAUGAAGCAAUUAUGCAAUCAGUUUCGACCUGACCCCCCAGGGUUUACCCAUUCUUA
rnacentral:tRNA from 1 species